rnacentral:rRNA from 1 species
GACGAACGCUGGCGGCGUGCCUAAUACAUGCAAGUUGAGCGCUGAAGGUUGGUACUUGUACCAACUGGAUGAGCAGCGAACGGGUGAGUAACGCGUGGGGAAUCUGCCUUUGAGCGGGGGACAACAUUUGGAAACGAAUGCUAAUACCGCAUAAAAACUUUAAACACAAGUUUUAAGUUUGAAAGAUGCAAUUGCAUCACUCAAAGAUGAUCCCGCGUUGUAUUAGCUAGUUGGUGAGGUAAGGGCUCACCAAGGCGAUGAUACAUAGCCGACCUGAGAGGGUGAGCGGCCACAUUGGGACUGAGACACGGCCCAAACUCCUACGGGAGGCAGCAGUAGGGAAUCUUCGGCAAUAGACGAAAGUCUGACCGAGCAACGCCGCGUGAGUGAAGAAGGUUUUCGGAUCGUAAAACUCUGUUGGUAGAGAAGAACGUUGGUGAGAGUGGAAAGCUCAUCAAGUGACGGUAACUACCCAGAAAGGGACGGCUAACUACGUG